rnacentral:rRNA from 1 species
GACGAACGCUGGCGGCGUGCUUAACACAUGCAAGUCGAACGAUGAAGCCGGAGCUUGCUCUGGUGAAUUAGUGGCGAACGGGUGAGUAACACGUGAGUAACCUGCCCUUGACUCUGGGAUAACUGCGGGAAACUGUAGCUAAUACCGGAUACGACCCUCGGAGGCAUCUCCUGGGGGUGGAAAGAAUUUCGGUCAAGGAUGGACUCGCGGCCUAUCAGCUAGUUGGUGAGGUAAAGGCUCACCAAGGCGACGACGGGUAGCCGGCCUGGGAGGGUGACCGGCCACACUGGGACUGAGACACGGCCCAGACUUCUACGGGAGGCAGCAGUGGGGAAUAUUGCACAAUGGGCGCAAGCCUGAUGCAGCAACGCCGCGUGAGGGAUGACGGCCUUCAGGUUGUAAACCUCUUUUAGCAGGGAAGAAGCGAAAGUGACGGUACCUGCAGAAAAAGCACCGGCUAACUACGUGCCAGCCGCCGCGGUAA